UACGGAGGGGGCUAGCGUUGUUCGGAAUUACUGGGCGUAAAGGGCUCGUAGGUGGCCAACUAAGUCAGACGUGAAAUCCCUCAGCUUAACUGGGGAACUGCGUCUGAUACUGGAUGGCUUGAGUUUGGGAGAGGGAUGCGGAAUUCCAGGUGUAGCGGUGAAAUGCGUAGAUAUCUGGAGGAACACCGGUGGCGAAGGCGGCAUCCUGGACCAAUACUGACACUGAGGAGCGAAAGCCAGGGGAGCAAACGGG
rnacentral:rRNA from 1 species